GAAAGUUAGAAAAUAAUAAUGCAUUUUUUGGUUAAGUGCUCCAGAUGUGCGUUUCAAAACAGUUGCCAAUGAAUAUUGUGACUCUACGAUAAUAAAUGUUGAAUGAGUCGUUGGAAGUUGCGUUCUUCGAUACGAUGGAAUCAACAGAGGAGGAAGUGAUGCACACGCUGUCUGGUGAAAUAGACAUCAAAGAGGAGGCAAUAUUGACUGACUCCUACUGGCGACCACUUGAAGAAUUUGAACAAAUUGACAUUAAAGAAGACAGUGUUGUAAGUAUAUGUGUAUGUAAAGACUUAACGUGUUAUUGAUUAAGCUAAAUUAAGUUAUUAAUGAAAGACUGUUCCAUUUGAUGAUGUAUCCCAUAUUUAGAUCUUUGACUUGUUUCGGACUUCACAUCGGAGCCAUUUUCAAGCGGAUCCGAAGUGCACGUGCCCUCUCUGUGUGGCAGUACUGCAAGAUACAAGUCAC